GGUCAUUUAGAGGAAGUAAAAGUCGUAACAAGGUUUCCGUAGGUGAACCUGCGGAAGGAUCAUUAUUGAAACUCACGGGGGCGCGUGCUAAGACCUGCACCGGUGGCGACGCCGUGCUGCGGUCUGGCUUGCGUCCUCUUCCAAACCCAAACACCUGUGAACCUUUGGGAUGGCGUGCUGUAACGGCCGUCGUCCCGUUUAACACCAACUCUGAUGUCUAUUUGAAUGUGACUCGGGGCCUCCCCGAUUUAAACUUAAAACAACUUUCAACAACGGAUCUCUUGGCUCUCGCAUCGAUGAAGAACGCAGCGAAAUGCGAUAAGUAAUGUGAAUUGCAGAAUUCAGUGAAUCAUCGAAUCUUUGAACGCACCUUGCGCUCCUUGGUAUUCCGAGGAGCAUGCCUGUUUGAGUGUCUUGAAAUCAUCAAACCCCUCUGGUUUCUGCUGGAGCGGGUUUGGACUUGGGGGUUUUGCUGCCUCUGGCGGCUCCCCUUAAAUGAAUCGGUCGGGCUUUCGUGUGGCUUGUCCCUUGGCGUUGUAUCAACCUCGUCGCUGGAUGGCUCGCGAGCUUUAGCGCCCCUCCAAGACCAGCCUCUGGAGUGGCGGUCAACUUCAAUUUGUGAUCUGACCUCAAAUCAGGUAGGACUACCCGCUGAACUUAAGCAUAUCAAUAAGCGGAGGAA
rnacentral:rRNA from 1 species